GUCUACGGCCAUGUCACCCUGAACAAGCCCCAUGUCUGAUCUCGGAAGCUAAGCAGCAUCGAGCCUGGUUAGUACUUGGAUGGGAGACCACCUAGGAAGACCGGAUGCUGUAGGCA
rnacentral:rRNA from 1 species